rnacentral:pre_miRNA from 1 species
UGGAACAUACAGGUAAGGGCUGCUGUCAUCGCAGUCUUUAACUGGGUGUUCAAA